GAUGAACGCUGGCGGCGUGCCUAAUACAUGCAAGUCGAGCGAACGGACGAGAAGCUUGCUUCUCUGAUGUUAGCGGCGGACGGGUGAGUAACACGUCGAUAACCUACCUAUAAGACUGGGAUAACUUCGGGAAACCGGAGCUAAUACCGGAUGAUAUUUUGAACCGCAUGGUUCAAAAGUGAAAGACGGUCUUGCUGUCACUUAUAGAUGGAUCCGCGCUGCAUUAGCUAGUUGGUAAGGUAACGGCUUACCAAGGCAACGAUGCAUAGCCGACCUGAGAGGGUGAUCGGCCACACUGGAACUGAGACACGGUCCAGACUCCUACGGGAGGCAGCAGUAGGGAAUCUUCCGCAAUGGGCGAAAGCCUGACGGAGCAACGCCGCGUGAGUGAUGAAGGUCUUCGGAUCGUAAAACUCUGUUAUUAGGGAAGAACAUAUGUGUAAGUAACUGUGCACAUCUUGACGGUACCUAAUCAGAAAGCCACGGCUAACUACGUG
rnacentral:rRNA from 1 species